AAUUAAUAAUUCCGAGUUGUAUUUUCUAAGGGUAUCUAUGAAUUUACAACCGAUGGGUUUAAUUAGAAAUGAUUGAGCCUCCCAUGUUUGGAAAGGAAGUG
rnacentral:ncRNA from 1 species